CCUACGGGAGGCAGUAGUGAGGAAUAUUGGUCAAUGGGCGAGAGCCUGAACCAGCCAAGUCGCGUGAAGGAUGACGGCUCUAUGGUUUGUAAACUUCUUUUAUAUGGGGAUAAAGUGCGGAACGUGUUCCUUUUUGUAUGUACCCUAUGAAUAAGCAUCGGCUAACUCCGUGCCAGCAGCCGCGGUAAUACGGAGGAUGCGAGCGUUAUCCGGAUUUAUUGGGUUUAAAGGGUGCGUAGGUGGUUAAUUAAGUCAGCGGGGAAAGUUUGUGGCUCAACCAUGAAAUUGCGGUGGAAACUGGUUGACUUGAGUGUAUUUGAGGUAGGUGGAAUGCGUGGUGUAGCGGUGAAAUGCAUAGAUAUCACGAAGAACUCCGAUUGCGAAGGCAGCUUACUAAACUGUAACUGACACUGAAGCACGAAGGCGUGGGGAUCAAACAGGAUUAGAUACCCGGGUAGUC
rnacentral:rRNA from 1 species